UACGUAGGUGGCAAGCGUUGUCCGGAAUUAUUGGGCGUAAAGCGCGCGCAGGCGGUCCUUUAAGUCUGCUGUGAAAGCCCACGGCUCAACCGUGGAGGGUCAUUGGAAACUGGGGGACUUGAGUGCAGGAGAGAAGAGUGGAAUUCCACGUGUAGCGGUGAAAUGCGUAGAGAUGUGGAGGAACACCAGUGGCGAAGGCGACUCUGUGGCCUGUAACUGACGCUGAGGCGCGAAAGCGUGGGGAGCAAACAGG
rnacentral:rRNA from 1 species